UAAAUAGAAAGCUUACUUUCUACAACGGCAAGAGCUUUGGACUCGACGGGAGGUGGAUUAUGAAUUUUCUCAUCCGCGACUUCCACCGGAGCAGGAGUCGGUUCCUUCGCCGGAGCUAAAACAGCCGGAGAUUCUACGUCAACCUUACUCGUCUUUUGCUCCUCCGCCAUUGUCUCUCAGCCGAAGAAGAAGAACAGA
rnacentral:sRNA from 1 species